AGGAUGACCUGGGAACCAUGUACACUGGGUCCCCUGUGGCCAAGGGUCCCUUCAUGGUGUUGAUGAGGUGUAGAGGUUGUCAGGCUGUGAUUUUAGCAGAGUCCUGAGCUCCGGUGGAGAUUUGCCUCUCUCCAGCCUUGGGCUAUCUGCAUUUUUGAACAUCUCAGGGCCCAGAAGGAAAAGAAGAAUGCUGACCAGCUCUAGGAAUGGCCUGAAUGAAGAGAGGAGACCAGAAAACACUUGACAGAGGUAACACUGACCCAGAGAGAAUUGAAUCCUUGUGCCCAGUGACUAGAAGACCCAUGAACCUGGAAAAAGGAGCCUAGAAGAUCACCAUGUUUCCCCCACAUAGGAGAACACCCACCCCCUCCCGCCCCAUGCCCAUUACAGUGAUUUGGUCACUGCCGAGCUAUCUUCGUUUAAUGUGGUUUUGACAGAAUAGUUGGUCUGGAAAUUUUAUUUUCAAUUAAACUACCUUGUUGAACUGCUUUGGUUUUGAAAGGAUUCCAUUAGGAUGGAUAAUUAUAUAGCAGUUGCUACAAGGAGAUAUUUGCACUCAAUUUCCACUCUUAGGUCAUUCAAAUCAAAGGCUUUUUCUUUUCCUCCCCAGAGUUGUGUGCGACCAUCUUCCUCAUACUAUAGGCUUCUCAUGAGUUAUUUUUGGAAAUCCAAAUCAAAACAGCCCUUUUGGCGGAGGCCAUCUCUAGCCUAGCAGAGUAAGCCAUAUGUACCAGUAAACACAGCCAAAGAAUCGGUGCCUUUGAAAAGCACCAAAACCAUCUCCCUCUUUGUGGGUUAAAUUCUUGGGGACCAUAGACUAUCCUUUGUAUCAUCAUAUAUUCCUCUGUGAACUCUAAAGUCAAAGACAAUUGAAAUUCCUUUAAAAUUACCAAAGUUUUGGGGUGCUUGGGUGGCUCAGUCGAGCAUCCAACUCUUGGUUUCAGCU